rnacentral:rRNA from 1 species
GACGAACGCUGGCGGCGUGCUUAACACAUGCAAGUCGAACGGAAAGGCCCUGCUUUUGUGGGGUGCUCGAGUGGCGAACGGGUGAGUAACACGUGAGUAACCUGCCCUUGACUUUGGGAUAACUUCAGGAAACUGGGGCUAAUACCGGAUAGGAGCUCCUGCUGCAUGGUGGGGGUUGGAAAGUUUCGGCGGUUGGGGAUGGACUCGCGGCUUAUCAGCUUGUUGGUGGGGUAGUGGCUUACCAAGGCUUUGACGGGUAGCCGGCCUGAGAGGGUGACCGGCCACAUUGGGACUGAGAUACGGCCUAGACUCCUACGGGAGGCAGCAGUGGGGAAUAUUGCACAAUGGGCGGAAGCCUGAAGCAGCAACGCCGCGUGCGGGAUGACGGCCUUCGGGUUGUAAACCGCUUUCGCCUGUGACGAAGCGUGAGUGACGGUAAUGGGUAAAGAAGCACCGGCUAACUACGUG